AAUGAAUUGGUUGCUUCCGAUUAACUGAACACAUAUCUGGAUUAUCACAAUUAUCUAAUUUAACUAGAGUUGGACUUGGUAAAUCUUUACCUUAAUCCGAUAAUCACAAUCAAUGGAUAACAAGACAACAAAGGUUUUGUUUGGUUUGGUGACAAUCAAAUUAAAUUUGAUUAUCUAGUUACCUUGAAAACGUUAAUUUCUCAAUUUAUGGUUACCUGUUGAUUGUAAUCAUAUUUGAUUAACCUUUAAUUGUAAACUCGUUAUCUUUAUGUGCUAUCAGAAUUGUAACAAUUAACAAUUGUUACAAUCAAAAUGGUGAAUGAAACGAGAACUCAAUUGAGAAAAGUUGUUUAUUUUUCAAUUAUUAUGUGAACAAAUAGUUAAAUUUAAUCAUCAUCAUAAAUGGAAUCACAAUUAGUAGGUGAAUUAAGGAAAACGGGAUUAAAGAGUAGACUGAUUGUUAAACAUAUUGAUACAAUUAAGGAUUAAAUCAAUUGAUUAAUUUUCACAAUCGAUGAUUACAAUUUGUAUUCAUUUUUUUAAAAGAUUUUAACAAGGGGUCAAGAUCGGCGACAGUUUUUGACCGUUCAGAGAGACAUUUCUUGGAAACUGGACAUCGUCCGACAUUAUUAGUACCAGUAACUACGGUACUUCGUCCUCCCCCGAUGAUACCAACUCCGAUA